AUCAUUUUUCUAAGCUUUAGAAAUCUAUUGCAAAAACAUUGGUUUAGCUUUUAACUCAACUAUGAUUGAACCAUCAUCAGAUAAUGACAAUCGAGUAUUCAUUGCUCGCAAAGCAAAUAGGGAUUUUCUGCUUAGAGCAUCAGCAACCACAUUGGCUUUUCCCGGAUGAUAGUCAAUAAUCAAAUCAUAAUCUUUUAACAGUUCAA
rnacentral:lncRNA from 1 species